UUGAACGCUGGCGGCAUGCUUUACACAUGCAAGUCGAACGGUAACAGGUUAAGCUGACGAGUGGCGAACGGGUGAGUAAUGCAUCGGAACGUGCCCGAUCGUGGGGGAUAACGCAGCGAAAGCUGCGCUAAUACCGCAUACGAUCUGAGGAUGAAAGCGGGGGACCGUAAGGCCUCGCGCGAUCGGAGCGGCCGAUGUCAGAUUAGGUAGUUGGUGGGGUAAAGGCUCACCAAGCCGACGAUCUGUAGCUGGUCUGAGAGGACGACCAGCCACACUGGGACUGAGACACGGCCCAGACUCCUACGGGAGGCAGCAGUGGGGAAUUUUGGACAAUGGGCGCAAGCCUGAUCCAGCAAUGCCGCGUGCAGGAAGAAGGCCUUCGGGUUGUAAACUGCUUUUGUCAGGGAAGAAACCUCUAAUGUGAAUAACAUUGGAGCUGACGGUACCUGGCGAAUAAGCCACGGCCAACUCCGU
rnacentral:rRNA from 1 species